rnacentral:lncRNA from 1 species
UCUGUCGCUUCUUCGAAGAGGAGAAAAAAAAAGAGAGAGGAAAAGAAGCAAGAGUAUUUUGUUCAGUUUGCUGAAAAUUCGAACCAAAUCUGCAAAAUUGAAAAAGGCGACCCAAUUUUACAAAAGCUCAAAAUUUAUAAAUUUUUAUGCAAAUUGAUCUUAUUAUAAUUGCAAAUACUACACCAAACUACUAUUAUUUUUUUAUUUUACGUACUAUAUA